rnacentral:rRNA from 1 species
AGGGUGUAAACGCUGCAGACUUGGUGUUGGAAAUCCUUCGAGGGUAUUCAGUGCCGGAGAGAAGUUGUUAAGUCUGCUACUUGGGGAGUACGUCCGCAAGGAUGAAACUUAAAGGAAUUGGCGGGGGAGCACCGCAACGGGAGGAGCGUGCGGUUUAAUUGGAUUCAACGCCGGACAACUCACCAGGAGCGACGGUUACAUGAAGGCCAGGCUGAUGACCUUGCCUGAUUUUCCGAGAGGUGGUGCAUGGCG